UGUGGGUGGAAACAGAUUGCAGAGCCUGUUAUGAAACUUUACACAGAAACAACUGAUGGAUCAGUAAUUGAAAUCAACGAGACUGCGAUGGUAUGGUGUUAUGAAGAUGCAGAUCCAGAUUUUGGAUCCUGUCAAGCAAAAGAACUUCUUGAUCAUCUUGAAAGUGUCCUUGCCAAUGAGCCUGUUACGGUCAAGAGUGGUCAGAACAUUGUUGAAGUUAAGCCACAGGUACAUAUAGUUUCGUCUGUUGUUUCUACUGGAUAGCUCUUAUUUCUUCAAUGAAAAUGAUUCUAUUGUGCAACUCUUAUGUCUUCAAUGCAAAUUUAUAUUUACUGGUCUAUGUUAAAUGGCUUUGUAGCAUUACCAGUUGUUAAUGUUGUUGGUUGAAUUCAUUUGGAAAUCGAGAAGAACAAACAUUUUUGAGCCUAAUUUCCUAAGGUUUUAUACAGAUUAGCAACUGCAAAUCAAUUACCUCUUCAUGAUUCAUGAGAUAGAAAGAACAACUAUGCUUUUAUAUUUAUUUCCUGCACUUUUCAACUAAAAUUAUGUCUCCAUCUUCUUCCUGGAUUAGAGUCAUUUCUGUGAUCGCAUCUUAACCUCAAAGAACUUAACAGAUCCAAGCUUGCAAGUAUUGCCAUUUUCACCUGGGACAGGCAAAAAGUAGGUUCUCUUUUUCGAGACAUAUAAGUGCGACAUGCCAUUGCAUUAUCAUGUUUUCUAUGGGUAUUGAGUUAUCAUUUUUUUGCUAGUGGACAUGCGGUUUUUCUUUCCUUCUAAGGACAAGGAAAAGAAACUGAACAUUUGUCGUCAACCAACAGAACAAUAGUCCAAGGACUGUCAUCCUAUGUUAAGCUUUGCUGGAUAUUCUUUCCAAAUUACUCGUUGGCAAAAAAUUCUGCGCGUUCUGAUUUUUGAGGAGAUUAAACAUUGUCGAGCUUUCUUGUUUAAUGGAGUUUGCUGCAUGCUUGUUUGCAGGGUGUGAGCAAGGGUCUUGUAGCCAAACGCCUACUCUCCUCCAUGCAAGAGAGAGGAAUUUCUCCAGAUUUCGUUCUGUGUAUUGGAGACGACAGAUCUGAUGAAGACAUGUUUGAAGUCAUCACGAACUCUGUGGCAGGAACAUCUAUAGCUCCAACUGCAGAAGUCUUUGCAUGUACUGUUGGUCGAAAACCCAGCAAGGCAAAAUAUUAUCUUGAUGAUACGGCUGAAAUUGUAAGAUUGAUGCAGGGCUUGGCCUCAGUUGCAGAGCAGAUGGUGCCGCUUUAGAACCCUACGGGCUUUAAAGGGCAACACAUGAUGCAAUCUGUCAUGGAGGCUCAAUUGCUCAAUCGUGCUUGUUUCGUUUGUAGGAGUACUUUUUAUGUUUUCCACUAGCACCUGUAAAUUAAGAAUAGACUAAGAGAAGCUGCACAACGGUGCUUUUUUGUUUUUCCCUUGUUCUUAGUUUUUUCCUCAGCUAGUGCUUGAUCAUCAUCUGAGAAAGUUGUACAUAUGAAAUGGAAAACGUGCACUGAUUUAUUUUGUUUGUUUUUAGACUUUCAUUGAGGAGUGCUACUUUUCUUGUUUCCAGCGGUGGUCAUAUUUGCCUUUGUGCUAUUUGCUCAAAAUGAGGAUCAAUGACAGCUAUUGGAGCUAAAUGCAAUGUCUCAAACAACAAUGGAAGAAACAAAAUUUUCUUUCUGGUGCUUUUUCAUUGCCUUGAGAGCUUUCUUUACCCUUUCAUUUGUGUACCUCUUGUAGUAGAUAUGAUCUCUUGCGUAUUGAUAUGGUUUCUGGGAGGCUGCAGAUGAAAUCUCUCAGAUGGGGUAAACAUUAGACAAUAUUGGAUAGAGGUUGAAGACGGGCGAAAUCUAUGCUACUUGAUGACAUAUUUUAAACCGAGCAUGUUUAGAAUUUUAAUAAUUUUAGAAAUUGAUUUGUUAUUUGGUAACUAUAUUAGAUUUGGUGUUACACUUGGUUUAGGAAAUAGAGUUGAGUCAUGUUUUGGUAUUAUAAUUGUUGGGCUUUGAGAGAGCCAAACUCGGGGAGAAUUUAACCAUGAGUUAGAAUGGAAACCACAACCAUGGGUUUGACACCACAUUCAACCCAAAACCUUAAGGCAUUGGAUCUAUGGAUCAUUCUCACUUAUAUGUUCCUUAUUCUACUCAUCUCUUUUCGAUGUGGGACAUUGAUUCACACUUGAUAUCCCAACAAUCUCCCCCUCAAUUGUGAAUCUCUUCCACAUCGGACUUCUCUCCCUAACCCAUCCACUCCAUCAAACCCACUUCAAUUUGGAGUGUACGAUUCUUACUCAAGAGCCCACAUGCCCUUGCCUCACUGCAGGUCUGCAUGAUUUUUUUUUCCCCGCUCUUAUCCAAGCCACGCCUUACCACUCCCACUGGCUUUUUACUCUGGAGUCACUACCCAGCCGAACCAUCGGCUCUGAUACCACUUGUUGGGCUUUGAGAGUGCCAAAUUCGGGGAGAAUUUAACCAUGAGUUAGAAUGGGAACCACAACCAUGGAUUUGACACCACAUUCAACCCAAAACCUUAAGCCAUUGGAUCUAUGGAUCAUUCCCACUUAUAUGCUCCUCAUACUACUCAUCUCUUUCCGAUGUGGGACAUUGAUUCACACUUGAUAUCCCAACAAUAAUUAGAAUAGGAUUUGUGGUUAUGUUUCUCUAUUUAAGGACCUGGAGUUCUAAGUUUGUAGUUGCGGAAAAUUAGUAGAUUGAAGUAGAAUAUUUUGUUUCCUCCCGACGCCCGUCCCUUUCUUAUUGUUUAUUAUUUAUAAGAUUUUAAUGUUAUUUCUUUGUAAGAUUUUAAUGUUACUUCUGUUGUGUGAUUUUUUGUACUAAUACUGCUUCGUUUGAAAAUCCAUGUAGGGAUUUCUUCUAUACUGUUUGAUUUGUUCUUUUGGUCUUUGCUACUUUUUAUUUAUGGUAUAACACCAUUUUGCAUUAUAAAUCAUAAAAAGUUCGUGUAUUUUUUCUAUUGGUAAUAAAAGUUUGUUUAUCGUGGAAUGCAAGAAAUCUUGCCAUUUGCUGCCUCUGUUAAAAGUAGUAAAUUGUAUCCUAUAUAUGACAAGAAUCAUACUUAUAUAUAUUCCAAAUAUGACACUUACAAACAAAACAAAUUUAUAAUUUAAAAGAGGAAGACAUUUUUUGUGGCAUUUCUGCAACUGAAAGAGGAAUGCACAAACCAAUUAAGUGAAAAACCCCAGCAUAAUUAAAGAAGCACUUCUAGCUCCAAACCUAACUAGACCAAGAAGUGGUGGGAAGAAUAAUAGUCACUUCAGCUUUUGUCACCACUCUAAGUACAAGUAAGUUGGUCCAUUAAUUGUUGUGCCCACUAAAAUUAGGCAUGCAGGAAUAUAUACCUUCUCAAUCUUGAACUUGAGAAUGUGAGCUCUAACCUCAAGUGAAACAAAAUCCCAUAUAGUGUAAUUUUUUUUGGUUUCUUUUUAAAAAAAAAAUCCAAUUGAAAAACCCAAAUUCAUUAUUAGUUACAUCAAAAAAAAAAAAUUUUAAAAUUAUUCUUCAACACUAAGGGUAAUGAUUGGUUCCGGAGUGCACAAUUAAGUUGCUCAGUGAUAGGUCAAGGUGUACCAUUGGGCACUUUUUAAUUCUUUUCCUUUUAAUUGACUAUUUGCAUCUGAGACUCUAACCUCCAAUAUCUUUAUCCCAUAGGCUCUUUACAAAUUACAAAAAAAAAAAAAAAAAAAAUUAUUUGAAUAAGGCACCACUAAUUUAUAUUAUCCAUCCAUUAAGUAUCUUUUAAUUUGACCUCAUUAGCCUAGCCUUUCAUCAUUUGAAAGCUUAUCUAUUGCUUUCUCUAGAAGAACAAUGGAGAAAGGAAAAGGUUAUGGUAUUAUACUGAGACUGUGAAAAGUAACGAAAAAUUAUGUAAAUAUCAAAUUAUGUAUUUUUUAAAACGAGAUUGAUAUGAUAUUUCAAUGAAUGAAUUACUCCCUCAAAGUAAUUUUUAUCAAAUUUUCACUUCGAACUCUAGAAAUUUGACUGUUAUGCAAAUUUACACCUUAUUUUUGAACACUUGCUCAAGGUUUAAAACAAUCAUCCCAUGGACAAACAAGAUUCUAAGAUUUGGAAUACAAAAGUAGUAUAACAUAAAAGGGCUAAAUUUUGCAAAAAUGUAUGAUUCAUUUUUUUUUUUUACAAAAAAAAAAAUAUGAUUCAUUAGCUGGAAGAAAGUUGAAGAUUAUUAAAUAUCAACAAACUAUGUACACCAGUUACAGUGGACACUGGAUAGUGGGGCAGUGUAUAUAACAAGCUUUAAGGGAACUCCACCCAUAAUAAAGAUAACAAAAAGAAUAGUUUGUUAGCUGUCUUCUGCCCUUUUCAUUUCAUUUUUCUACUUAAGGGCCUUCACCUUUUGGGAUUCAAGUGUCAAAAACUGGUAAAAUUUCUUGAAACUACUCUUGAAUUCUCAUUAAUGCUGUGUCCUUUGCCAGUUUCUUGGUUUCAAAUCUUUAUCUAGCUCUUGCUGAUUGGUUACUGGCUGGUCUGGUAAUUAUCAGUCAUAUUCUUGAAACAGCUGCUUGUUUUUUUUUUUCGUUAUAUUCUUAGCUCUGUUUUGAUCUGAAUCUAUUCUGUUGCUUUCCACUUAUAUUUGUUUGAUGAGGGACUUUUGUUUAGGUAGGAAAUAUUACUUUCAUAGCUUGAUUUACAUGUUAAAGAUCACUUUUUUAAAUAGUUUCUUGCACGCUUCUGAGCUGUAAUCUUUAUUUGUUGCUUGGUUUAAGAAGAGUAAAGUGGGAAGUUUGGUUUCUUGAUUUUUGGGAGGAAUUGGUUGAGCUAGGAAGCUUUUAAGUUAAGGGGGUACUUUUCUCUAUGUUUAGGUGGUUUUUGGAUAGACAAAUAAGGUUUUGGUUUGUUAAUUGGUUUAGUUAGAUAGUGAAAAGUGAAGGGUUAAAACAGAAAAUGGUCUCAAGGUCAUACUCAAACCUCUUGGAGCUCGCCUCCGGAGAGGCUCCGGCACCGUCUUUAGGAAGUAUUAGCCGGAGGAUUCCACGAAUUAUGACGGUAGCCGGUAUCAUGUCUGAUCUGGAUGAUGAUGCUUCAGACAGUGUGUGUUCUGACCCAUCAUCAUCAGCUCAAAAGGAUAGGAUAAUUAUUGUGGCCAACCAGCUUCCCAUAAGAGCUCAGAGAAAAAGUGAUAGUAGUAAGGGAUGGACUUUCAAUUGGGAUGAUAAUUCACUUCUUCUCCAGUUGAAGGAUGGUUUGGGUGAUGAUGACCUUGAGGUCAUAUAUGUGGGGUGUCUCAAGGAGGAUAUUCAUCCAAAUGAGCAAGAUGAGGUCUCGCAGAUACUCCUUGAGACAUUUAAGUGUGUUCCGACUUUUAUCCCACCCGAUCUGUUUAGCAGGUACUAUCAUGGGUUCUGUAAACAGCAGCUGUGGCCGUUGUUCCACUAUAUGCUGCCCUUGUCACCAGAUCUUGGUGGCAGGUUUAAUCGCUCAUUAUGGCAGGCUUAUGUUUCAGUUAAUAAGAUUUUUGCUGAUAGGAUAAUGGAAGUGAUUAAUCCUGAAGAUGAUUUUGUAUGGGUCCAUGAUUAUCAUUUGAUGAUUCUGCCCACCUUCCUGAGGAAGAGGUUCAAUAGGGUGAAGCUCGGGUUUUUUCUACAUAGUCCAUUUCCUUCAUCAGAGAUAUACAAGACCUUGCCCAUAAGGGAAGAAAUUUUGCGAGCUCUACUGAACUCAGAUUUGAUUGGGUUCCAUACUUUUGACUAUGCAAGGCAUUUCCUCUCCUGUUGCAGUCGAAUGCUAGGCCUAUCUUAUGAAUCUAAAAGGGGUUACAUAGGCCUUGAAUAUUACGGGCGGACUGUGAGUAUCAAGAUUCUUCCAGUUGGUAUUCAUAUGGCGCAGCUUCAGUCAGUCUUGAGUUUAAGAGAGACGGAGGUAAAAGUUGCUGAGCUUAUUAAGCAGUUUCAAGAUAAGGGGAGGACAAUGUUGCUUGGGGUUGAUGACAUGGACAUAUUUAAAGGCAUCAGUUUGAAGUUAUUGGCGAUGGAACAACUGUUGCAGCAACAUCCAGAGAAGCAAGGGAAGGUUGUUUUGGUGCAGAUAGCCAAUCCAGCAAGGGGGAAAGGGAAAGAUGUGAAGGAAGUUCAGGAAGAAACUUACUCAACUGUUAAGAGAAUUAAUGAGGCAUUUGGGCAGCCAGGAUAUGAACCAGUUAUCUUGAUCGACCAGCCACUGAAGUUCUAUGAAAGGGUUGCUUAUUAUGUAGUUGCUGAGUGUUGUUUGGUCACAGCAGUUAGGGAUGGAAUGAAUCUCAUUCCGUAUGAAUACAUAAUUAGCCGACAAGGAAAUGAAAAACUAGAUGAAGUUUUAGGAUUGAAACCUUCCAGUCCAAAAAAGAGCAUGUUAGUUGUCUCAGAGUUCAUAGGGUGCUCGCCAUCCCUGAGUGGAGCAAUCAGAGUUAACCCUUGGAACAUUGAUGCAGUUGCUGAAGCUAUGGACUCUGCUCUUGUUAUGGCUGAACCAGAAAAACGGCUGAGGCAUGAGAAACACUACAAGUAUGUAAGCACACAUGAUGUAGGCUAUUGGGCUCGUAGUUUUCUGCAGGAUUUGGGUAGAACAUGUAAGGAUCAUGUAAGGCGGAGAUGCUGGGGUAUUGGAUUUGGCUUAAGUUUUAGGGUGGUGGCGCUGGAUCCAAAUUUCAGGAAGUUGUUAAUGGAGCAUAUAGUUUCAGCUUACAAAAGGACAACAAUUCGGGCCAUCCUUCUGGAUUAUGAUGGCACUUUGAUGCCUCAGAAUUCAAUUGAUAAGAAGCCUAGCUCUAAAACGAUUGAAAUCCUGAAUACGUUGUGCAGAGAUAAGAACAACACGGUUUUCAUUGUCAGUGCUAGAAGUCGAAACAAGCUAGAAGAAUGGUUUUCAUCUUGUCAAAAGCUUGGACUUGCAGCAGAACAUGGCCAUUUCCUGAGGUAUGUAUUGAUGAUUGUUUUAAGUACAAUUCCACUUCACAUUGACAUUGGUCAGAUAAAUAAUUUAUUUGUUGAACCUUGUGAUUUGUUUUUCCAUUUUAAGGAUUAGGAGAGAUGAGGAGUGGGAAACUUGCGUACCAACAGUGGAAUGUGGGUGGAAACAGAUUGCAGAGCCUGUUAUGAAACUUUACACAGAAACAACUGAUGGAUCAGUAAUUGAAAUCAACGAGACUGCGAUGGUAUGGUGUUAUGAAGAUGCAGAUCCAGAUUUUGGAUCCUGUCAAGCAAAAGAACUUCUUGAUCAUCUUGAAAGUGUCCUUGCCAAUGAGCCUGUUACGGUCAAGAGUGGUCAGAACAUUGUUGAAGUUAAGCCACAGGUACAUAUAGUUUCGUCUGUUGUUUCUACUGGAUAGCUCUUAUUUCUUCAAUGAAAAUGAUUCUAUUGUGCAACUCUUAUGUCUUCAAUGCAAAUUUAUAUUUACUGGUCUAUGUUAAAUGGCUUUGUAGCAUUACCAGUUGUUAAUGUUGUUGGUUGAAUUCAUUUGGAAAUCGAGAAGAACAAACAUUUUUGAGCCUAAUUUCCUAAGGUUUUAUACAGAUUAGCAACUGCAAAUCAAUUACCUCUCCAUGAUUCAUGAGAUAGAAAGAACAACUAUGCUUUUAUAUUUAUUUCCUGCACUUUUCAACUAAAAUUAUGUCUCCAUCUUCUUCCUGGAUUAGAGUCAUUUCUGUGAUCGCAUCUUAACCUCAAAGAACUUAACAGAUCCAAGCUUGCAAGUAUUGCCAUUUUCACCUGGGACAGGCAAAAAGUAGGUUCUCUUUUUCGAGACAUAUAAGUGCGACAUGCCAUUGCAUUAUCAUGUUUUCUAUGGGUAUUGAGUUAUCAUUUUUUUGCUAGUGGACAUGCGGUUUUUCUUUCCUUCUAAGGACAAGGAAAAGAAACUGAACAUUUGUCGUCAACCAACAGAACAAUAGUCCAAGGACUGUCAUCCUAUGUUAAGCUUUGCUGGAUAUUCUUUCCAAAUUACUCGUUGGCAAAAAAUUCUGCGCGUUCUGAUUUUUGAGGAGAUUAAACAUUGUCGAGCUUUCUUGUUUAAUGGAGUUUGCUGCAUGCUUGUUUGCAGGGUGUGAGCAAGGGUCUUGUAGCCAAACGCCUACUCUCCUCCAUGCAAGAGAGAGGAAUUUCUCCAGAUUUCGUUCUGUGUAUUGGAGACGACAGAUCUGAUGAAGACAUGUUUGAAGUCAUCACGAACUCUGUGGCAGGAACAUCUAUAGCUCCAACUGCAGAAGUCUUUGCAUGUACUGUUGGUCGAAAACCCAGCAAGGCAAAAUAUUAUCUUGAUGAUACGGCUGAAAUUGUAAGAUUGAUGCAGGGCUUGGCCUCAGUUGCAGAGCAGAUGGUGCCGCUUUAGAACCCUACGGGCUUUAAAGGGCAACACAUGAUGCAAUCUGUCAUGGAGGCUCAAUUGCUCAAUCGUGCUUGUUUCGUUUGUAGGAGUACUUUUUAUGUUUUCCACUAGCACCUGUAAAUUAAGAAUAGACUAAGAGAAGCUGCACAACGGUGCUUUUUUGUUUUUCCCUUGUUCUUAGUUUUUUCCUCAGCUAGUGCUUGAUCAUCAUCUGAGAAAGUUGUACAUAUGAAAUGGAAAACGUGCACUGAUUUAUUUUGUUUGUUUUUAGACUUUCAUUGAGGAGUGCUACUUUUCUUGUUUCCAGCGGUGGUCAUAUUUGCCUUUGUGCUAUUUGCUCAAAAUGAGG
rnacentral:lncRNA from 1 species